rnacentral:rRNA from 1 species
CCCUUAGAUGUUCUGGGCCGCACGCGCGCUACACUGAUGCAUUCAACGAGUCUAAAACCUGCUCUGAUAGGGGUGGGUAAUCUUUUGAAUGUGCAUCGUGAUUGGGAUAGAUGAUUGCAAUUUUUCAUCUUCAACGAGGAAUGCCUAGUAAACGCAAGUCAUCAGCUUGCAUUGAAUACGUCCCUGCCCUUUGUACACACCGCCCGUCGCUCCUACCGAUCGAAGAGUUAGGUGAAUUGUUUUGAUCGAUAAGAUUUGACUAUGGUCAACUCUCGUUGUGAAAUUCUGUGAAUCUGACUGUUUAGAGGAAGGAAAAGUCGUAACA